rnacentral:rRNA from 1 species
CCACGGUGGCAGCAGUAAGGAAUAUUGCUCAAUGGCCGAAAGGCUGAAGCAGCAACGCCGCGUGUGCGAUGAAGGCCUUCGGGUUGUAAAGCACUUUUUGAGGGGAUGAGGAAGGACAGUACCCUCAGAAUAAGUCUCGGCUAACUACGUGCCAGCAGCCGCGGUAAAACGUAGGAGGCGAGCGUUAUCCGGAUUUACUGGGCGUAAAGCGCGUGCAGGCGGCUCGAAAAGUUGGAUGUGAAAGCUCCUGGCUUAACUGGGAGAGGUCGUUCAAUACUUUCGGGCUUGAGGAUGGGAGAGGGAGGUGGAAUUCCGGGUGUAGUGGUGAAAUGCGUAGAUAUCCGGAGGAACACCAGUGGCGAAGGCGGCCUCCUGGCCCAUUUCUGACGCUCAGACGCGAAAGCUAGGGUAGCAAACG